UUUUUCUUAAAUAAUUUUUUCUUUGCUUAUGACUUAACCUUAUGGACGUGAGUUGCUGUUUCUUCAUUCCUAGAAAGUAACCACAGUACACACAAGAAGACAAGUAACUGCCCUAGGUUGUAAAUACUGAGGUGGAUCUCUUUCUUAACGUCCAGUGUCCUUUGUCUUAAGAUUUGGUGCAAUACGU
ensembl:snoRNA